UCAAAUAGACAAAAAUGACCUAAAUACACAAACCCACGGAUAAGAAUAUCGACUAUUGAGAGAAAAGAAAACUCAUGAUGAUCCCACUGAGGCUUCAUUGUGGAAGGAAGAAUCACGCUAAAGACGCAGAGUAAAGACACAGAGCAAAAACGCGGAGUAAGGUCGUUCAGAGCUGAAUUAUUCAUAGAAGAGUUGUAGAGUAAAGAGAUAUUGCUGAGUAAAGGAAUAUUUGGGAAAAAGGCUGAGAGCAAAAUUCACGGGAAGGAAAUGUCUAGUGGUCGAGGAGGAGUUUCUUCGGCCAAAGGAGGAGGAUAUUCUGAUCUUCGACAGAGACUCAUCAAAAGUAGUAGAAAUAGGAGAAGCUUAUUCUUAAAAGGUGGUCCCUUCAACUUUUUGCAGGAGCCGCUACUUCAAACUAUCAACUUGUCGGCUGACAUGGAAGAUGCUCAAAAGAUGAGAAGACACUUUUAUCCUUGAGCAGAAUGAAGGAAGAAGCCGAAGAUGACGAAAAUGCCCUCCCGUAUCCAGAGUUGAAAUUAUCAAAAUACCCUUCACUUGUAAUAGCCUAUAAAUAGUAGGAAAACCUGCAUUGUAAAACAAGUUCAUUCAAAUAUAGUUCCAUUUUCAUGUUU